rnacentral:pre_miRNA from 1 species
CAAAUACUUCCUGCUUUCGGAAAUAUUUUUCAUAGAAAUGGAUGUAUCUAAAUGCAUUUUAGUCCUAGAUACAUCCAUUUUUAUAUAUUUGUGUGACAAGUAAUUCUGGAUGGAGGGAGUAGAUU